rnacentral:rRNA from 1 species
UACGUAGGGGGCAAGCGUUGUCCGGAUUUAUUGGGCGUAAAGAGCGUGUAGGCGGUUCGGUAGGUCAGUUGUGAAAACUCGAGGCUCAACCUCGAGACGCCGAUGGAAACCCUCGAACUAGAGUCCGGAAGAGGAGAGUGGAAUUCCUGGUGUAGCGGUGAAAUGCGCAGAUAUCAGGAAGAACACCCGUGGCUAAGGCGGCUCUCUAGUACGGUACUGACGCUGAGACGCGAAAGCGUGGGGAGCGAACAGG